rnacentral:lncRNA from 1 species
AGUAUUUUCUGAUGGAUCACAGACCUCCAUAUCUGCAGUUUCCUGAUCUGACAAUGACGUUUUCUUCUUCUUUCUCUUCCGUUUUUUGCUCUUUACUUCACAUACACUUGCAGUUCCCAUACACUCUACUGGCCUACUUUCCAUGGAGGUUGCUAGAGUAUUUUCUGAUGGAUCACAGACCUCCAUAUCUGCAGUUUCCUGAUCUGACAAUGACGUUUUCUUCUUCUUUCUCUUCCGUGUUUUGCUCUUUACUUCACAUACACUUGCAGUUUCCAUACACUCCACUGGCCCACUUUCCAUGGAGGUUGCUAGAGUAUCUUCUACUGCCUCGCGUACCUCCGUUGUUUUGGUCUUUCUCCUCUUCUUUUUCUUGACUUUAGGAUUCUGAGUUUCGGACACAGUAUCAUCAGCUUCAGCAUCUGCUCCCUUUUGUUUAUCCACAGUACCAUCACC